AACCUGGUUGAUCCUGCCAGUAGUCAUAUGCUUGUCUCAAAGACUAAGCCAUGCAUGUCUAAGUAUAAGUAUUAUACAGCGAAACUGCGAAUGGCUUAUUAAAACAGUUAUAAUUUAUUUGAUAAUCGAAUUUACAUGGAUAACCGUGGUAAUUCUAGAGCUAAUACAUGCUGGUAGGCCCGACUUUUUGGAAGGGCGGUAUUUAUUAGAUAACAAACCAAUAUUCCUCUGGUCUAUUGUGGUGAAUCAUAAUAACUGAUCGAAUCGCAAGGUUUUUAACCGCGAUAAGUCAUUCAAGUUUCUGCCCCAUCAGCUUUCGAUGGUAGUGUAUUGGACUACCAUGGCUUUUACGGGUAACGGAGGAUUAGGGUUCGAUUCCGGAGAGGGAGCCUGAGAAACGGCUACCACAUCUAAGGAAGGCAGCAGGCGCGUAAAUUACCCAAUCCUGACUCAGGGAGGUAGUGACAAGAAAUAACGGACCGAGGCCUUCGGGCUUCGGGAUUGCAAUGAGCCGAAUUUACACCCCUUAGCGAAGAUCGAUUGGAGGGCAAGUCUGGUGCCAGCAGCCGCGGU
rnacentral:rRNA from 1 species